rnacentral:rRNA from 1 species
AGGACGAACGCUUGCGGCGUGCCUAAGAAAUGCAAGUCGAACGGGGGCUUCGGCCCUAGUGGCGAACGGUCGCGUAACACGUGGGCAACCUGCCCUGAAGCGGGGGACAACAGUCCGAAAGGACUGCUAAUACCGCAUGUGGACGGAGAAGGCAUCUUCUUUGUCUAAAGGAGAAAUCCACUUCAGGAUGGGCCCGCGGCCUAUCAGCUAGUUGGUGGGGUAACGGCCUACCAAGGCUACGACGGGUAGCUGGUCUGAGAGGACGACCAGCCGGAUUGGGACUGAGAUACGGCCCAGACUCCUACGGGGGGCAGCAAUUAGGAAUCUUGGACAAUGGGCGCAAGCCUGAUCCAGCCAUGCCGCGUGAGUGAUGAAGGCCUUCGGGUUGUAAAGCUCUUUAGUCCACGAAUAUAAUGACUGUAGUGGAAGAAUAAGCCCGGCUAACUUCGUGCCAGCAGCCGC